AGUGAACGCUGGCGGUAGGCCUAACACAUGCAAGUCGAACGGCAGCACAGUAAGAGCUUGCUCUUACGGGUGGCGAGUGGCGGACGGGUGAGGAAUACAUCGGAAUCUACUUUUUCGUGGGGGAUAACGUAGGGAAACUUACGCUAAUACCGCAUACGACCUACGGGUGAAAGCAGGGGAUCUUCGGACUUUGCGCGAUUGAAUGAGCCGAUGUCGGAUUAGCUAGUUGGCGGGGUAAAGGCCCACCAAGGCGACGAUACGUAGCUGGUCUGAGAGGAUGAUCAGCCACACUGGAACUGAGACACGGUCCAGACUCCUACGGGAGGCAGCAGUGGGGAAUAUUGGACAAUGGGCGCAAGCCUGAUCCAGCCAUACCGCGUGGGUGAAGAAGGCCUUCGGGUUGUAAAGCCCUUUUGUUGGGAAAGAAAAGCAGCAGGUUAAUACCCCGCUGUUCUGACGGUACCCAAAGAAUAAGCACCGGCUAACUUCGUG
rnacentral:rRNA from 1 species